AUUCUACUCCCUCCGUUGCACAAUACAUGCCUUCUAUUUGUCAAAAUAUAUAUGUAUCUAGACAUGUCUUAGUAUAUAGGUACAUCCAUUUUUGGACAAAUCGAAGUCAAGUAUUUUGGAACGGAGGGAGUACACA
rnacentral:pre_miRNA from 1 species